rnacentral:rRNA from 1 species
UACGGAGGGUGCAAGCGUUAUCCGGAUUCACUGGGUUUAAAGGGUGCGUAGGUGGGCAGUUAAGUCAGUGGUGAAAUCUCCGGGCUUAACCCGGAAACUGCCAUUGAUACUAUCUGUCUUGAAUGUCGUGGAGGUGAGCGGAAUAUGUCAUGUAGCGGUGAAAUGCUUAGAUAUGACAUAGAACACCAAUUGCGAAGGCAGCUCACUACACGAAUAUUGACACUGAGGCACGAAAGCGUGGGGAUCAAACAGG